rnacentral:misc_RNA from 1 species
GAGCAAAUCAACCUAUUAUAAUGUUUCUUCUACUAGCAAGCCCUCUCUAUAAGUUCUCAACGACAGGAGUUGAUACGCCUCAUCUUCGCAUUUAGCACACAUCAGUAAGCCCAAAUAGGUGAUAAGAAGUUUUACUCUCCAUUAAAAAGUGUGUUCACUUCUUGGUAUGGUUAUAGAAAAAAUAGUAGGAAAACAAUAAAUUAAAUAUGGAAUGUAAUGCAAAUGAAGAUACCAUUCACUGCCACCCUGUAUUUUGAUUAUAAUUAAAAAAAAAGGGCAAGCACUCACCAUAAAAAUCAGACGAAAAUUCGUAACUAUCAAUGUACCAGCUUCAUCGAUAUUAACAAGAACAACUCCACGCCCCUAAAAGCAAAGCCCAAAAAAUUAUUGAAUGCACUUCAUAAAUUUACCAAAAGGAAGACAAUCAAUAAAAUUUUGUAUGUAUAUUGCUCUGAUUCCAUCAUCAUUCAAUAUAGAUAAUGAUGCCCUUGGAAAAGAAGCAAAGAAAACAUUUUCAAUGCUCUAGGUUUCUCAAUGACAAUUAAUAACAUUUAGGGGUGUCAAUGGAGAGCGCCACAUAGCCAAUUUGCCCAACCUAAUCAUGCACAACCUAAAAAUUUUAGGAGUUGACAUUAAGAGUUGAGCCCAAGGUUUAGUCCAAUGUUGGACAAGGUUGGGAUAGUGUUUUGCUUAUAAUUUCAAUAUGUUGGGCCAACCAUAAAUUGGGAAACAUAAUAAAUGGAAAGCCCUAAUAACAUUAUACUCAACACUUUAAAACUAGACUAAAAUUGAUGGACCUGAAGAUUUAAACACAAUCAUUUGACCUAGCCCAGGGUGGCAGAAUCAAAUGGGUUUCCUUCUGGUUAAAAUAUUACACUUGGAUAUUCAGAGGGUAGGAUUCUACACUCAUGAAUUAAAUGAAGCAAAUUGCCAAGAUUACAAUGAUUGCCACUUUUGUUCAGGUUAUUACAAUUUACAACUAAGUGAGUAGCUUAUCCUAGAGCUUGUGCAGUUUAGUUGGGCUUAGCCCCAUUUUAUUCAUCAAAAAUAAAAAAUUAACUAUACUUCAUCAUAUUAUCAUAUUUGUUAAAAUUAUAAAAUUAUGAGUGCAUGUGCAUCACAGUUCAACGCCAAGUCACCCAUAUGUCCUAAAUGGUAUUAAAGCAUAUUGAUACUAGGAGUUGAAGUUAGGACAGGACAGAUCCUAAAUAGAAAGCUAAAAUUACUUUUCUCUGAGCAGUAACAUUCAUUUUUAGUUAGAUUUUAUCAGUUUUCUAGAACAAGACAAUAACAUUCCAGUGGAAAGUGAAACCUACAACCCUACCAGUGGUAUGUAAUUACAUCUUUUCUAUAAUGGAACAAACUUCAACAGUAAUGGAAUAAAGUCUUGCUGAAUAUUUUUAGAUGCCUUACAACUAGGAAAACUCUAAUGUACAUCCUCCAAAGAGAGCAUUAAUGAACACCAGAAAUGAUGCAAGACUUGGAUAGCAUAAGAGGAACAAAGGAAUCAAAAAAGAAGCCAAAACAGGGCAUUCCAGCAGAGGCAGCAGGUUUGCACAGUGAAGUACUGAUACGGUGUUGAAUAAGCGAGUCGCAGCAAAGUAGCCGUUGUAGAAGAAUCUAUCUGUUAGAGGAAAUUGUGGCGUCAGCGGGAACAGUUAUAAUUGUUAGAUUGUUGUUAUAGCUGUUGAGCUUAUGUACACGUGGACCAAUUGUCCAUUAGCUAGCUAUAUAACCUUUGUGAAUUGUGCAACAGAUUCAAUCUUAUCAGUUGGUUGUUAAUGCAAUAGAAGAUUCCUUUUCUGUGUCUUCCAGUUUUUCUUUGUCCAUAUCCUAUUAGCUGGUAUUAGAGCCGGCAAUCCUCAGCAAUAGCAAUGGAGACCUGUUCACAGGAGUGCAGAAAAGAGAUUCAACUCUGGUUCUGGAAUCAGAGCAUAGGCAGGAGACGAAAAUGAAAGUGAGAUUGCAAGAUAUGGUAAAAGAAUUGAAGUCCCUAAUCGCUGGCUUGGGUAAUCAGACCACGGAGCUGGUGGAUAACAAGAAGCUUGAGAAGAUGUCUCAAAACAAUUCAGAACAAUGAAGCUAGUUCGUGCACCAAUAUGGCGAGGGCAAAAUUGGAGUUUCCUCAGUUUAAUGGUGAUGGUUUAGAAGGCUGGUUGUUAAGGGCCGAGUAUUUCUUUGAAGUGGGGUAAGUUCUGCAAGGGAACAAAGUGAAGAUUGCAGCCUUACAUUUGGAAGGAAGGGCUGCCAAGUGGCAUCAGGGUUUUGUUAGAGUAAAAGGGGAAGAUGCGCAUGGUGAUUGGGAAGGCUAUGUAAAUGUGUUGGCUACUAGAUUCGGUAAUCAUGCAUUUGAUGACCCAAUUGCAGCUACGCACAACUUGAGGCAACAAGAUUCUCUUCAAGAUUACCUUAAUGCCUUCGAUGAACUCUAACCAAAAGCAGGUAUAACCAUGGUUUCAAAUAACAACCGUUAUUUACAUGUUUUGAAGGG